GACGUAGGGUGCAAGCGUUGUCCGGAUUCAUUGGGCGUAAAGAGCUCGUAGGCGGCUUGUUGCGUCGACUGUGAAAACCCGCGGCUUAACCGCGGGCUUGCAGUUGAUACGGGCAGGCUAGAGUUCGGUAGGGGAGACUGGAAUUCCUGGUGUAGCGGUGAAAUGCGCAGAUAUCAGGAGGAACACCGGUGGCGAAGGCGGGUCUCUGGGCCGAUACUGACGCUGAGGAGCGAAAGCGUGGGGAGCGAACAGG
rnacentral:rRNA from 1 species